GGGAGCCCCAAGGGCGCUUGCCUUUGGCCUUGGCGGAGCCGGGAGCCAGCGUGAGUUAAAGUUUGAGAGGCAUCAGGCUGAGCUGACCCUCUGCAGAAUUCUUUUCCUUGGUCGUUGAGGCUCUCACUGUGAUUCCUAUGAAGCGUCUUUGAUAUGGGCUCUUCAGGUUGAGAGAAGAUUCCUUUGGGAACGUAUGUUGGCAGAAAAUUAAUGCUGAUAUUUAAAAAGUGAUAGUUCUGAGCAUUCAUUUCCUUCUUCACCAGUGGAAUCCUGUUGUUCUUCAGGUGGCGACUCACCAGUAGGAAUAUUGUUACCUCAUUUCAGACUGUGAAAAUUAAAUUAGUUUCAAAAGAAAAAAGAUUGGCAACAGUUCUUAAAUGGGUAUGUUUCUCCCUCUAAAUGCUUGGCUAGUUAUUCAACUAAGAAAGACGGUGAAUUC
rnacentral:lncRNA from 1 species